UCUAAGAGCAGUCAGGACGGAU
rnacentral:miRNA from 1 species